GACGAACGCUGGCGGCGUGCUUAACACAUGCAAGUCGAACGGAAAGGCCCUGCUUUUGUGGGGUGCUCGAGUGGCGAACGAGUGAGUAACACGUGAGUAACCUGCCCUUGACUUUGGGAUAACUUCAGGAAACUGGGGCUAAUACCGGAUAGGAGCUCCUGCUGCAUGGUGGGGGUUGGAAAGUUUCGGCGGUUGGGGAUGGACUUGCGGCUUAUCAGCUUGUUGGUGGGGUAGUGGCUUACCAAGGCUUUGACGGGUAGCCGGCCUGAGAGGGUGACCGGCCACAUUGGGACUGAGAUACGGCCCAGACUCCUACGGGAGGCAGCAGUGGGGAAUAUUGCACAAUGGGCGGAAGCCUGAUGCAGCAACGCCGCGUGCGGGAUGACGGCCUUCGGGUUGUAAACCGCUUUCGCCUGUGACGAAGCGUGAGUGACGGUAAUGGGUAAAGAAGCACCGGCUAACUACGUG
rnacentral:rRNA from 1 species